AUUCAACGCCUUUAGAACAAUGGCAGUCACAUAGUAGGUACUCAAUGUUUGGAGUACGAAUAAUGUACUCUUAUUAUUCAAAGACCAGCUAGAAAGUUACCUUCUUUGAGGGGUCUUCCUGAUAGUUACAGUGACAAGGAGACUUAAUCGCCCCCAAACACUUACCACUUUACACUGCUUGGUUGUCUCCAUUACACAACUAAUUCCCCGAGGGGAAGGAUCUUGAAUAACUGAUCUUUGUUGUAGGCGGCUAGCACAGUACCCAGAUCAUAGAGGGAACUCAGAAUCUGAUGCUGGCACUUGUAAUCAGAAAGUCUGGGCUGAGAUCCCAGUAUCUUCACUGACUGGCUUUGUGAUCUCAGGCUGGUCACUUAGCAUUUCGAACGCCGCGCUACCUACCCCGCCCACCCCAGGAGCGAACAGUGUUGCUGCCCCAAAGCGCCGAAUAGAUCGCAGAACGUAGUGGGAAAGUAAGGGACUAUUAUGAUCUGUACCCCACCCCGACGCACGCCAAGCGGCUUUUUCCCCAUUUGUGGCCAAAUUUCCCGGCAUGGGGAAGGAGCCUUAGGGGAAGCACCCGGGACCUCCUUGGCUUCUUCUGGGAGUCUAGUUUCACCUAUUUCGUUUCGCCAACAGGCGAGACGGGCAAGACUUCGGGCUCAGCUGCCACCAUCAGUACUGACCUGUCCAUGGCUAAAGCCUUUUCCACACACAACCAAAGUUGGCUGCAGUUUAGCUACCGCGUUUUAGCCUUCCCGCUCUCCGGAAGCAAGCCCUUCGACCCGGAAGCAGUCUGUCCCUAAAACAGACCCACAGAAAAGGCAGGCGCAAAAGUUUGCCAAUGUGUUCCUGGUUGCGUUUAGCCCAGACGCCCUGCGGCCGCUUUGCCUGACCAAAGUCUGUGGGCGUGGAACAGGCCCUGGGUUCUCCUACUGGGAAGAAUGAGGUUCAGGUACUCCAUGUGAUAUAUGGUUCCACAAUCCUCAGCGUGUUAACUGAAGCCUUGUUGAGUUUAACAAAGCUGCCAUUGAAGAUCUGGGGAAAGUGAAGAAGUUGCAACAGAGUUUUGGGCUCACACCAUUGAUACAUUUGAUCCUUAAGGCAAGUGACAAUUUGGGUUUCACAGGUAUAUAGAAAUUGCCAGCUUUUCUUGCCAUAUAUUUCUUGUGACAGUGCUGAGCUUUUUUUUUUUACUUCUUGCUUGCUUUUUUUUGGACUUGAUUUUUUAAAUUAUGUUUCCUUCCUUCCUUCUUUCUUUGUUUUUUUUUUUUUUGAGACAGGAUCUUGUCCUAUUGUCCCGGCUUACGUGCAGUGGCACAGUCACGGCUCACUGCAGCCUUGACCUCCUGGGCUCCAGCAAUCCUCCUACCUCAGCCUCCCUAGUACCUGAGGUUGGCCCACCCCGCCUCACUCCCACCCUCUUCUACUUAAUUCAGGAUGUGAAUAGCACAUGCCUUCCAUCUUCAGACAAACACUGAGGCCUGGACAAUGACCUGCAUUAGGUAGAUAGAAUCUACUGAAAGCUAAAAGCCUUUUCCUGUGUCUUAGCAGCACGGAAGCCACGCCUCCUUCCCCCCAAUGUUUGUGCAAACCCUAGAGAAGAGGAGACAGCCCCUAUGAUGUGUGAGGUUGAAUUUCCUGCCCUCAACCCAUCAAAUCAGGCAGAAUGAGGGCUCAGUCAGAACUACAACUACAAAAGAGAAAAAUUUUAAUGUGACUUUUCUUGUCUGCUCAGAUUUUUGGGUUAAGGUUCAUGCCAGCUACAUUCUUUGCAUAAUAAAAUAUAAAUAGAGUAUAAAUUGUUCUAGUUAGAGAAAACAGCAAAACAGUGCUCUCCCAAGGGCCCUAAUAAAUCACUUUACAGAAACGUGGAUGUGUGUUGGAUUUACAGGAUUUCUAUGCCAAGCAGAGAAGUACGUGAAAACAGGAAAGCAAAAUGCAUAAGUUGCAAUAAUAGUUUUGUGGUUUAGCUGAAUAAUGUCCUAUAUCAACAGAGGAUAAUGAUUUUAGUUUUUCAGUUGCCCCAAGAUCAUUUCCAUUACUGAUGAGGCUUGAAAUGUCUGUGAAGAAGAGUCAUUGCAAUUGAUUUAUUUGUCUGGCAAACUUUUUGUCAGCAAAUUCACCACUACCUCAAAAAUCUCACUAGCUACUCUAUGCUUAAGACAUUGGAAGCAUAAGCCACAAUGAAAACUAACUCUUAGCAUUAGAAUUCUAAGAAGCAGUAAUGUAUUUAUGAUUUUAUGUUAAAAAUCUCCCAGAUGUCAGCAUUUAAAUCACAAUUCAGUAAUAUAAGUAAUUUGAAAUUAGAAAGUUUUAUACUUCACCAUUCUAUUUUCCUCUUCAAAUUGAACACAGUUUGAAAGAAUUAAGAAAAGAAGCUAUAAAAAAUAAAUUGUUCAAGGAUUCUUCCUGUUUCUAAACACCACAAGAUUAUGAUGAUAGAGACAUCAUUUGAAGUGGUAGAGAGUACUGUGAAAUAUCUAUAUGUGAAUGUAAUGAAAAUGAAAAAAUAAUCUGAUGAAUUUUUAAAAUUAAUCUUGUUAGAGUCAUUUUUGAGAAAUUGUAUGCAAGUGUAUUGAUUGAAAAUGACCUUCUCAUUCAAGAAAAAUUUAUUGAGCACUUACCAAGUGUCAACAGGUGAAUGUGAAUAAAAUAGAUAUGGUCCCUGCCUUCUUGGAGUUGAAUAAAAUAGCAAACACUUAUUGAAUAUUUAUUAUAUGUUGUGCAUUAUAAUAUUAACCAAUGUUUAUUGAGUUGUUAUUAUAUGCCAACUAUGCCAAUCCUGUCCUAAGCAAUUUAUGUAUGUUAACUAAUUUAAUCCUCACAAUAAAUCUAUGAGGUAGGU
rnacentral:lncRNA from 1 species